UGAAGGAUCGGCCCGCAAUGCUUCUCCCAGCAAAAACACAGCCUCCCAAGCUCUGUUUUCAUUGGAAGAGGGCUGCAGGAGGCUGUUGCAGCCGGAAAAAAAAGCCCGGGAAGGUCUCUCCCAUGUUCCGUUUUUGCUGGCAGAGUGCUAGUAAAACAAACUACUAGCAAAAAUGGCAUUUGAUCACACGAGUGACGUUGAGCUGACCAUGCCCCGCUGCGUGCGCGCGCACACACACACACACACACACACACACACACACACACACACAUUGAGGUCAAACACAACCCUGAUGCAGCCCUCAAUGAAAUCAAAUUUAACAGUCCUGCAGUAGAUAAGUAGAUAUCUUGUAGAGUUCUACAUCAGCACCCAAUUUGUUUCCAACCACAUGCAAAUGAAUGGAUUUUCCCAAUGAGGAAAUCUCAGAUGAAUCCUAAGAGUAUGUGUAAAGUUGCUGUAAAGUAGGAGCUUGGUGAUGAUAAGGCAUUCUGAUUGUCAUUGGGAAAAUAAUACGAAGAGACCGGUAAAACCCUUUCUAUUUUAGUUUCAUGAUUAUAAUUGAAGAUGCUCCCAACACUUAAUAUCACUUCAGAAAAAUCUAGAUUCUUAAAAUUAAGAUAACCUUUAUUGUCAUUUUCCUGUGUACACAGUGGCACACAUUAAAAUGAAAUUCCAAUGCACAGUAUUGCAGGCUAAUUCCGAUGACUGCCGUCUGCCAGCGGUUUGGCAGUUCGAUUCUGACCGGCUCAAGGUUGACUCAGCCAUCCAUCCUUCCAAGCUUGGUAAAAUGAAGAGCCAUAUUGCUGGGGGCAAUAUGCUGACUCUGUAAACCGCUAGAGAGGGUUGAAAAGUACUGUGAAGAGGUAUAUAAGUGCUAUUGCUAUAAAUACCAAUAAAUUUUGGGCUCCAUUGCGGUUGUAGGUUGAGGACUACCUGCAUGAUGUGGCAAUGAAUUCCCAGACAUAGGCCUCCUCAAUCAGAGCUGCAGAUUUUUGUAGCAUCCUGCCUUAUAUCUCUUGACAUAGCUGUGUAGAGAGAAGUGUGAGAAGAUCAUGUGUACAAAGCAGCAGUAAUGAUUCCAUCCUGUUCAACAUAAAAAGUGCUUUUUUCAGUUUUCGUGUAGUGCAAUUUAUAUCACCCAACACUUUCUAAUUCUGUCACUGGAGAAGCAUCUGCUCUUUUCCUUGGGUGGAGUGCCAGUACUCCAUUUUAACUCCAGCUUGCCACCUUUUCCCUGUUUCAGAAGCAUGAUUGUGCAACAAAUAAGUAGGUAAAACAUUUUACCUAACAUGGAGAUGUACUGAUGGGGGAUCAUCUAUAAAGACCUAGGAAUGAAGCAACUAAGAUUUGGCAGUCCUACUUUCAUUCCCAAAUGCUGAUCUCAGAGUUUCUACUGAAAGGCUGGGGAGAUAAUUCUAAAUAGGUCCUGCCAAUGAAAAGAAGAUUAGGAAAAAUAAUUUGCACAAGGAAAUUUUCUAGGAAACAACCUAGGACUAAAGAGAAACUUCCUAAAAAUGAGAACUAUUAACUAGUGGAAUGGCUUAUUUUCAGAAGUUGUGGGUGCUCCAUCACUGGAGGCUUUUAAAAAGAAACUGGACAGCCCACCUGUCUAGAAUGGUACAGCGACUCCUGCUUGUGCAGUGGGUUGGACUAAAAGACCUCCAAGGUCCCUUUCAGCUCUGUUAUUAUGUUAAUCAUCACCUUAGUUCAGAGCCAUCCCUAGAGAAGCUCUGGCAGAUCUAUAUGAGCCAAUCGUUCCCACAGGGGGGUUGGGGGGGGAGGCAGGGAUAAAAAUCUCAAUCCAGCUGUCCCAUAUACUGAGCAGAUGGCUCCUUUAUUGAAUCAUCCUCCAGUAGUUUUCAAAUGUUACGUUUGGAAAUGAAAGAAUGCUACCUAUAGUGGUAGGUAGCAUUCUUUCCUACCAAGGAUGUGUAGAUCGAAAGAAGAUGUAAUAUGCGUAAAUAUAAGCAUCUAUAAGGGGUUAAGUAUGUGUAUAUAAUUAGUAAUGUAUAUUGAAUAUAUAAGAGAUUUGUGUUGCACUUCAGUUUUGUAUGGCGGAGAUAACGCCAAGACGGUUGCACCAUGUCCAACUUUUUUAAUAAUAAAGACAAAUUUAAAAAGAAAGAAAGAAUGCUACCUAUAUUCUUCAACACAUAGAAAAAGCAUUGGUGUGUCCGUUAUCUGUCUGCACUUGUAAUCCAAACCACAAUCCGUCACCCAGGUGUAAAACUGAGUCUAAGCUUCAGAUUCUUUUGAUGUAACUGAGAACAUCAUUUGGCUCACUGUUGGCAGACAGAAAUGGGCCAUUAGCUAAUCUAACCUAGCGAAUUCUAAGAACAGCUACUUGUCAAUUCACACCCCUGCUUUCUCGUUGGUUCUGUUGAAGGCCAUGAAAUACUCAAACUCUUGAGCUCCCCUCUAUUCUUCUAUCUAAUGUGUGAACAAACUGAAUGAUACUGUUUUAUACUUUAUUUUCAGUUUAUUGUCCAUAAUAACCGCUGAUAGAAAAGAAGGAAAAAUGAUCAGUUCCUAGAUUAUAAAAAAUGAAAGCAAGGCAAGACACUGGAUAACUACAGUUGUAACAUCCCCAUGGUUCACAUGAUCAAAAUUCAGAUCCUUGGCAACUGGUUCAUAUUUAUGACCGUCACAGUGUCCUGGAGCUAUGUGAUCAGCUUUUGAGACCUGACAAGCAAAGCCAGUGGAGAAGCCAGAUUCUGUAUAAGAAGUAUAAGAAAUCAAAGAAUAUUUCAGAGAAAUGGACCCAAGAACACAACUUGGAAAUGCUGUCUGCAGAAAGAAUAUAAUUUAGCUCUCAAUCUUAUUGAGGCAAAAGAUCACUUGGAAGAAAAACUAGGAUUGGAUUUUUGUGUGAAAGGACUUAAAAAUCGUGAUUCUUCUUACAGGUACAGUAUAAUUACAGGGAAUGGAUGCUGCUCAUACAUUUAUGGGCUAAACACAUACAGCUUCAUGUUGUGGUUUUUUAAAUUCUCAGCAGAUAUCUGCCUGUACGAGUUAAGUCUGAGGUCUGUCUAUGUCUGAUAUUGCUAUCUCUUUAAGGAAAAAUGUAGAGAUAUGACUACCUUGGCAUGAAGUACAGUAUAAUGUAAUAAUUUUGCCUCAUGAGCGAAAUGUAUAGUAAAACAGAUCCCUGAGGGCUGCCUAGAAACAUUGGAAAGAUAGUUAUACAUAAACCAUUUGUACAGCAUAACAUUUGAGGAUUACAAUUAGAAAAAGAUUUAUUUUUUUUUACUAAUGGUUUACAAAUUGAGAUGUGACAGUUAAUCUAUGUAUAUUAAUGUAUCAGUUCUAAAAAGUAGAGUUGCCUGCUGUCAUAAUGGGGAUCCAUGGGGAGGGGAAGAAGUAAUAUUAGGUAUGUUUUGAUAUCAUCUUGGCUUCUUCUGGAGGCCGAUGGCUAUCAUACUGGAACUACUUUGACAUGACACAAAUUUGAUAAUCGUGUUGAAUUGAAGUAGAGCUGUAUAAAAAAAUACAACCUUGUGGUAAUCCAGCAUAAACUGCCACAGUGCUUGAGAAAGAUAUAUGACAGAGAACUUCUAAUAAUCCUCAGAUGUCUCAUGUGUGUGUUUUGGGGUAUUUGGAAGCUUGAAAACUCUGCAGAUGUUUGAGAUCACGAUGAUAGUUUAGCAGACUCCCUGGGAACAAUUUUUUGCACAUUUUAUGAUCUUGUAUGAAUUCUCCCAUCUCCCAUUACAGGGAAUCAGCACCAAGUUCAAAAGCUUUGAGCCUCCGUAUCCAGUAAAUCCCCCUCAUCCGUGCUAAUAUUUCGGCACAUCCUUUAGUUUUAAGUUAAGACUCUUGUGUUUCCAUGGGAAUAUUUCUCUAAUCUGUAGGCUGAGAGUGGGUGCCGAUUUGAUUUCAAAAUGCAUUCAUGCGUUGGCUAACUGGAAUCUCCCAUCUCAGAUAUUACAGGCAGCAAGUUAAUUAACUAAGCCUUCUUGGAUGGCACUCAGGACUUUCUGACUGCACUGUAGGUGCUCUGCUGUAUAAACUGUGAGCUUCUUAUCAAGGUGAAAUGGCAACAGACUCCAGAGUAACUUCCCUCAGUCAAUAAUUACAGGUAGUCCUUGACUUAUGACCAAAAUUGAGCUCAAAACUUCUCUUGCUAAGUGAGACGUUUGUUAAGUGAGUUUUGCCCCAUUUUAUGACAAGUGAUUCACUGCACUUCUUAAAUUGGUAACACGGUUGUUAAGCGAAUCUGGCUUCCCCAUUGACUUCACUUGUCAGAAAGUCGCAAAAGGGGAUCACAUGACCAUGGGACGCUGCAUAGGACCGUCAUAAAUAUGCACCUGAAUUUUGAUCACCUAACCACCUUUAUGGGGAGGCUGUAAUGGUCGUAACUGUUGAAAACUGUCCGGUGUCACUUUCCUCAGGGAUGUGGUAAGUCUGAACGGUCACUGAACAAACUGUUGUAACUCAAGGAUUACCUGUACUUCAAAAGAAAUGCCAAAUUAAAUUAUUUGCAAGAAUCCGGUGCUAAGAAUGAGCUAAGAAAGCGUGGUUCGGUGUCUAGCUAUAUGCAGCACUUUAUUCUCCUAUUAUAAUUUG